rnacentral:rRNA from 1 species
AGUCGACCCCUAAGGCGAGGCCGAAAGGCGUAGUCGAUGGGAAACAGGUUAAUAUUCCUGUACUUGGUGUUACUGCGAAGGGGGGACGGAGAAGGCUAUGUUAGCCGGGCGACGGUUGUCCCGGUUUAAGCAUGUAGGCUGGUUAUCCAGGCAAAUCCGGAUAAUCAAGGCUGAGGUGUGAUGACGAAGCACUACGGUGCUGAAGUAACAAAUGCCCUGCUUCCAGGAAAAGCCUCUAAGCAUCAGGUAACAUCAAAUCGUACCCCAAACCGACACAGGUGGUCAGGUAGAGAAUACCAAGGCGCUUGAGAGAACUCGGGUGAAGGAACUAG